CACUGCAUUCUGUGCAGUAUCCUAAGUUGAAUACAUAGACUUAGAGAAGCGAACCCGGAGAACUGAACCAUCUAAGUACCCGGAGGAAAAGAAAUCAACCGAGAUUCCGCAAGUAGUGGCGAGCGAACGCGGAGGAGCCUGUACGUGAUAACUGUUGAGAUAGAAGAACAAGCUGGGAAGCUUGGCCAUAGUGGGUGAUAGUCCCGUAUUCGAAAUCUCAAUAGUGGUACUAAGCGUACGAAAAGUAGGGCGGGACACGUGAAAUCCUGUCUGAAUAUGGGGGGACCAUCCUCCAAGGCUAAAUACUCAUCAUCGACCGAUAGUGAACCAGUACCGUGAGGGAAAGGCGAAAAGAACCCCGGGAGGGGAGUGAAAUAGAACCUGAAACCUGAUGCAUACAAACAGUGGGAGCACCCUUGUGGUGUGACUGCGUACCUUUUGUAUAAUGGGUCAACGACUUACAUUCAGUAGCGAGCUUAACCGAAUAGGGGAGGCGUAGGGAAACCGAGUCUUAAUAGGGCGAAGAGUUGCUGGGUGUAGACCCGAAACCGAGUGAUCUAUCCAUGGCCAGGUUGAAGGUGCCGUAACAGGUACUGGAGGACCGAACCCACGCAUGUUGCAAAAUGCGGGGAUGAGCUGUGGAUAGGGGUGAAAGGCUAAACAAACUCGGAGAUAGCUGGUUCUCCCCGAAAACUAUUUAGGUAGUGCCUCGAGCAAGACACUGAUGGGGGUAAAGCACUGUUAUGGCUAGGGGGUUAUUGCAACUUACCAACCCAUGGCAAACUCAGAAUACCAUCAAGUGGUUCCUCGGGAGACAGACAGCGGGUGCUAACGUCCGUUGUCAAGAGGGAAACAACCCAGACCGCCAGCUAAGGUCCCAAAUGAUAGAUUAAGUGGUAAACGAAGUGGGAAGGCCCAGACAGCCAGGAUGUUGGCUUAGAAGCAGCCAUCAUUUAAAGAAAGCGUAAUAGCUCACUGGUCGAGUCGUCCUGCGCGGAAGAUGUAACGGGGCUCAAAUCUAUAACCGAAGCUGCGGAUGCUAGUUUACUAGCAUGGUAGGGGAGCGUUCUGUAGGCCGAAGAAGGUGCAUUGUAAAGUGUGCUGGAGGUAUCAGAAGUGCGAAUGUUGACAUGAGUAGCGAUAAAGCGGGUGAAAAGCCCGCUCGCCGAAAGCCCAAGGUUUCCUACGCAACGUUCAUCGGCGUAGGGUGAGUCGGCCCCUAAGGCGAGGCAGAAAUGCGUAGUCGAUGGGAAACAGGUUAAUAUUCCUGUACUUGAUUCAAAUGCGAUGUGGGGACGGAGAAGGUUAGGUUAGCAAGCUGUUGGAAUAGCUUGUUUAAGCCGGUAGGUGGAAGACUUAGGCAAAUCCGGGUCUUCUUAACACCGAGAAGUGAUGACGAGUGUCUACGGACAUGAAGUAACCGAUACCACGCUUCCAGGAAAAGCCACUAAGCUUCAGUUUGAAUCGAACCGUACCGCAAACCGACACAGGUGGGCAGGAUGAGAAUUCUAAGGCGCUUGAGAGAACUCGGGAGAAGGAACUCGGCAAAUUGAUACCGUAACUUCGGGAGAAGGUAUGCCCUCUAAGGUUAAGGACUUGCUCCGUAAGCCCUGGAGGGUCGCAGAGAAUAGGUGGCUGCGACUGUUUAUUAAAAACACAGCACUCUGCUAACACGAAAGUGGACGUAUAGGGUGUGACGCCUGCCCGGUGCUGGAAGGUUAAUUGAAGAUGUGAGAGCAUCGGAUCGAAGCCCCAGUAAACGGCGGCCGUAACUAUAACGGUCCUAAGGUAGCGAAAUUCCUUGUCGGGUAAGUUCCGACCCGCACGAAUGGCGUAACGAUGGCCACACUGUCUCCUCCCGAGACUCAGCGAAGUUGAAGUGGUUGUGAAGAUGCAAUCUACCCGCUGCUAGACGGAAAGACCCCGUGAACCUUUACUGUAGCUUUGCAUUGGACUUUGAAGUCACUUGUGUAGGAUAGGUGGGAGGCUUAGAAGCAGGGACGCCAGUCUCUGUGGAGCCGUCCUUGAAAUACCACCCUGGUGGCUUUGAGGUUCUAACCCAGACCCGUUAUCCGGGUCGGGGACCGUGCAUGGUAGGC
rnacentral:rRNA from 1 species